GAGCACUGUUUCGGCAAGGGGGUCAUCCCGACUUACCAACCCGAUGCAAACUGCGAAUACCGGAGAAUGUUAUCACGGGAGACACACGGCGGGUGCUAACGUCCGUCGUGAAGAGGGAAACAACCCAGACCGCCAGCUAAGGUCCCAAAGUCAUGGUUAAGUGGGAAACGAUGUGGGAAGGCCCAGACAGCCAGGAUGUUGGCUUAGAAGCAGCCAUCAUUUAAAGAAAGCGUAAUAGCUCACUGGUCGAGUCGGCCUGCGCGGAAGAUGUAACGGGGCUAAACCAUGCACCGAAGCUGCGGCAGCGACGCUGAUGCGUUGUUGGGUAGGGGAGCGUUCUGUAAGCCUGUGAAGGUGUGCUGUGAGGCAUGCUGGAGGUAUCAGAAGUGCGAAUGCUGACAUAAGUAACGAUAAAGCGGGUGAAAAGCCCGCUCGCCGGAAGACCAAGGGUUCCUGUCCAACGUUAAUCGGGGCAGGGUGAGUCGACCCCUAAGGCGAGGCCGAAAGGCGUAGUCGAUGGGAAACAGGUUAAUAUUCCUGUACUUGGUGUUACUGCGAAGGGGGGACGGAGAAGGCUAUGUUGGCCGGGCGACGGUUGUCCCGGUUUAAGCGUGUAGGCUGGUUUUCCAGGCAAAUCCGGAAAACUAAGGCUGAGGCGUGAUGACGAGGCACUACGGUGCUGAAGCAACAAAUGCCCUGCUUCCAGGAAAAGCCUCUAAGCAUCAGGUAACAUCAAAUCGUACCCCAAACCGACACAGGUGGUCAGGUAGAGAAUACCAAGGCGCUUGAGAGAACUCGGGUGAAGGAACUAGGCAAAAUGGUGCCGUAACUUCGGGAGAAGGCACGCUGAUAUGUAGGUGAAGUCCCUCGCGGAUGGAGCUGAAAUCAGUCGAAGAUACCAGCUGGCUGCAACUGUUUAUUAAAAACACAGCACUGUGCAAACACGAAAGUGGACGUAUACGGUGUGACGCCUGCCCGGUGCCGGAAGGUUAAUUGAUGGGGUCAGCGCAAGCGAAGCUCUUGAUCGAAGCCCCGGUAAACGGCGGCCGUAACUAUAACGGUCCUAAGGUAGCGAAAUUCCUUGUCGGGUAAGUUCCGACCUGCACGAAUGGCGUAAUGAUGGCCAGGCUGUCUCCACCCGAGACUCAGUGAAAUUGAACUCGCUGUGAAGAUGCAGUGUACCCGCGGCAAGACGGAAAGA
rnacentral:rRNA from 1 species